UUAGAGUUAUCUGGGAAGUUUAAUUGAAAUUUGAUUUCGUACGAAUCGUAAGGCCACGUUUGGCUCUCUCUAUUGUGUUAUGUUGGUGUGUAUGUUUAUACUUAUAUUAUGGGUGCCUUAUGAGUGGAUGGACUCAUCUCUUAGAAUAAAAAAAAAUAUAUAUCUAGAGGAAAGGGGGAGCCACGUGAGAGAGGGAGAGAUAGAGAACUCAAGGAGAAGAAGGAAGGAAGAGCUUGAGAAUGAAGAGGAAAGAUGGGGAAAUUGAUGGAAUUACUUCAAGAGAUUGGCUCUAGGUCAAGACGAGGACAUCGUUCCACCGCUAUCAGAGACCUACCGCUGUAAUUACUUUGGGAGUCCAUCUUAACCCUUGAUGCUCACCCUC